UGGGGAAUUUUGGACAAUGGGGGCAACCCUGAUCCAGCAAUGCCGCGUGUGUGGAGAAGGCCUUCGGGUUGUAAAGCACUUUUGUCCGGAAAGAAAUCCCUUGCCCUAAUACGGCGGGGGGAUGACGGUACCGGAAGAAUAAGCACCGGCUAACUACGUGCCAGCAGCCGCGGUAAUACGUAGGGUGCGAGCGUUAAUCGGAAUUACUGGGCGUAAAGCGUGCGCAGGCGGUUUUGUAAGACAGGCGUGAAAUCCCCGAGCUCAACUUGGGAAUGGCGCUUGUGACUGCAAGGCUAGAGUAUGUCAGAGGGGGGUAGAAUUCCACGUGUAGCAGUGAAAUGCGUAGAGAUGUGGAGGAAUACCGAUGGCGAAGGCAGCCCCCUGGGACGUCACUGACGCUCAUGCACGAAAGCGUGGGGAGCAAACAGGAUUAGAUACCCUGGUAGUCCACGCCCUAAACGAUGUCAACUAGUUGUUGGGGAUUCAUUUCUUCAGUAACGUAGCUAACGCGUGAAGUUGACCGCCUGGGGAGUACGGUCGCAAGAUUA
rnacentral:rRNA from 1 species